UACGUAGGGUGCUAGCGUUGUUCGGAAUCAUUGGGCGUAAAGCGCGUGUAGGCGGUUAGUUAAGUCGGGUGUGAAAUCCCCUGGGCUCAACCGAGGAAGUGCAUCCGAAACUAACUAGCUAGAGAAUGGUAGAGGAAGGUGGAAUUCCGUGUGUAGAGGUGAAAUUCGUAGAUAUACGGAGGAAUACCGGUGGCGAAGGCGGCCUCUGGACCUUUCUGACGCUGAGACGCGAAAGCGUGGGGAGCAACAGG
rnacentral:rRNA from 1 species